rnacentral:piRNA from 1 species
UGUAUGUAUAUUCUACAUCUUUUGUAUCUGC